AGGACGAACGCUGGCGGUGUGCCUCAUACAUGCAAGUCGAACGAGAAAUAACUUCGGGUAAUGGAAAGUGGCGGAACGGGUGAGUAAUAUGUAGGAAAUCUGCCCUAGAGAGGGGGACAACAGAGGGAAACUUCUGCCUAAUACCCCAUAUGAGCUUAGUUGAAAUACUAAUCUUGAAAACUCCGGUGCUCUAGGAUGAGCCUGCAUCUGAUUAGCUAGUUGGUGGUGUAAUGGACCACAAAGGCGACGAUCAGUAGCUGGUUUGAGAGGAUGAUCAGCCACAAUGGGACUGAGACACGGCCCAUACUCCUACGGGAGGCAGCAGUAGGGAAUUUUGCGCAAUGGGGGAAACCCUGACGCAGCAACACCGCGUGAAUGUUAAGCCCUUCGGGGUAUAAAGUUCUGUCAAUGGGGAAGAAUAAAUGACUGUACCCAUAAAGGAAGCACCGGCUAACUCCGUGCCAGCCGCGGC
rnacentral:rRNA from 1 species